rnacentral:lncRNA from 1 species
UAUAACAGUAUAUUCUAAAUUGCUUUCUCAGAAGUUUCCUGGUGAGACUGAUUUAUCUUUGGAGAACAUAGAAUUUAGUAGAUGGAAUAUGGCAUUAACCUUGAAAAGUUUUCAAUUCUCAACCACUGAGCCAUCUCUCCAGCCCUAAAGUAAAAAAUUUCAAUUCUCAGACCUUUACAGGUGGACUCUGUACCUUGACAACUGAAUUUCAUGGGCCAGUUAACUCAGUUAUAGAAAACAUUUGCCUGAAUUGCUGUUUGAAAACCCUAAGAGGAGCACCAGGGCUGUCAUGA